rnacentral:sRNA from 1 species
UAUCUUAAUUGUUACGUAUUAAAUAGGAGAAACCUUUUAUAAAUUUGGUUCGUUGCCGUUAACAUUAUAAAUCAAAAUAUUGUGAUGUGUAACUUUUCCAUUUCCCCCACUCAUGAACCUUGGAAAAAGAUGAAAAGUGUCCCUCACCAAUUUAAAAUAUGCAUGGGAGAAAUAGAGUCAAACAUCCAUUGUCACCUGAUCUAGUAUACAUGUACAUCAACUUAGUUAUCUUGAACUAGAUGGGACUGUUUAGAAACUUCUAGAUAUCCAAGCAUUCGAGAUAUUGAGGGUAAAAUACUUAGAAAAUAAGUAGUUGGGACUUACAAAUCACUUCGACAUAUACAUUGUAUUUGAGAUAUCAGUGUUCAAGAUAUCGAAGUUCAACUGUAUUUGUCUUCUAUAACCAUUCAAUGUGUGCAUACAUGCCUUAUUAGAUACAUGUUUAUGGGAAAAAAAGCUUAAAUGCGUGAUAAAUCAUCGUCACAAACCACUAUGAUAUUUGUGGUAACAAAAGUAAGAAGUUAUUAUAAAAGUUGACUUAUAGUAUGGCUUUUAUAUGUUCAAAGUAUUGAAUCUUAUUUUAAUGAACAAAACUGUAUAUACAUGUGUAUGUUUUAAUUAUAUUGUGUAUAUUCAAACAUAUGGCAUGUUCCUUUCUAUUAGAUUAUGCAAUACUAUAAACAUGCUCAAAGAAUCAGCUUUUCAAAAUAAAAAUAUAUAUUUACAUAUGUACUCAAAAGUGUCUUGGAAAUCAAGAUUUAUUAUU